rnacentral:rRNA from 1 species
GACGAACGCUGGCGGCGUGCUUAACACAUGCAAGUCGAACGGAAAGGCCCUGCUUUUGUGGGGUGCUCGAGUGGCGAACGGGUGAGUAACACGCGUGUAACCUGCCCUUGACUUUGUGAUAACUUCAGGAAACUGCGGCUAAUACCGGAUAGGAGCUCCUGCUGCAUGGUGGGGGUUGGAAAGUUUCGGCGGUUGUGGAUGGACUCGCGGCUUAUCAGCUUGUUUGUGGGGUAGUGGCUUACCAAGGUUUUGACGGGUAGCCGGCCUGAGAGGGUGACCGGCCACAUUGGGACUAAGAGAGGGCGCAGAAGCCAACGGGAGGCAGCAGGGGGAAAUAUGGCGCAGUGAGCGGAAGCCAGAUGCAGCAACCCUGCGUGCGGGAUGACGGCCUUCGGGUGAAAAACCGAUUUCGACUGUGACGAAGCGGGAGUGACGGUAAUGGAUAAAGAAGCACCGGCUAACUACGUG